AGAAACAUAAGGGACUUUAAAAAAAUUAUUUUUAGAUUCCCAUCGUCUUCCGACGACCUCGCACACCGGCGCAUCGAUCGCCGGCGAUGAAGGAAAUGGAAUCUCGAGACUGGCGAUGAGAUCAAGGUGGACCGUUCAUCGGCUUUCAAUUCUGUUCCUGUUCCUGUUACUGAUCUUCGAAUCAGAGAAGUGCGAUGCGAGGAGAGGAAGGUUUCCUACUUGAGGUUCGGAAUGCAGGCUGAUGGGGCGAUCGCGCCCACCAGGAUGGAUCACAAGGUCCCUUCGAGGCGGACACCUGAGGAAGGCUUCGGAUCUCGGCGGAGCUCAAGCGCCUGGAGCAAGAAGAUCGGUUUUUUGAAAUAAAACUCCUUUAGCCCCUCUCUUUCAUUUUGAAAUGAUUUUUAUAGAUCUCGCGUUUUUUACUUCCGUUUUCUUAUUUAAAUUCUCAUUUGGAUCUUAACUCGCUAUCGAUCGAUGAUGUACAUUUUCAAAAUUGAUUAGUAACGUAGGGAUGCUAAUUCUUUCGUUUAUCUACUAAAGUUCAUGCGCAUUGAUGCAGAAAAACAAAAGUGAUUUUUUCUGCUGACACGAACGAAUUUGGUCUGUGUGAAUGAGAUCGAAGAUUAUGAACAUCCUUUUUGCUACCUGCAAUGCAGUCACUGAUAACAAAUAUCACAUUUCUGAUUUUGUUUGUUGUUCUGAUCAUAAUUUGACAUUCCACAAGUUUAUCAAAAACAAAAUGGUGUUUUUAAUGCUGGUCUGCUUUGCAGUAACUGGUGACAUAUAUCAUAGUUCUAAAUUUGUCUGUUGUUCUAAUUACAAGUUAACAUGUCACAAGGUUGUCAUGGGCAGGAGUCCUUUUUACUACUAGUUCUUGCUAAUGCCGUAACAUGCCAUUUUGUUUCUAUACAUCCAGUUGGAACUUUAAGGAUGUUUCUUUUUGUUUAGCAUGUAGCAAAAACAAGGAAACUUGGUCCUGAUUCUUUUGUAGACUACACAAAGGUGAAAGAUGAAGGGUCCAUAGAAAGGACGCAUAUAUUGAUUUGGAUUCGCAGUUAAAUGGUGGCAAGUAGAAAAUGACAAUAGGAUGAGACCAAUCUUUAGCUGUGGGUCUUGACAUAUAAAUACCACAUGUACUGGGGUUCUUUUUUUUGAUGUAAAACAAUAGAUCUCUAAUGGAAAAAAGGCAGAUUGUACAUGGUUUUUCUUUGGUGAAUUUACUUAGUUCAGGUUGUAGAGUAUUGUGCAUUUGACUCUCAAACAGUAUACAGUGCAUCUACAUAGUUGAGAAUGUAAUGCUAUGGUUACUUGUAACUUUGGGAGGCAGAGCCGGUCCUUGUUAUUUAAAGGCCGUGGACGAAACUAUUAUUUAUACCCCAAUUUUAUUCUUCCAUCAACCUAAGUAAUAAUUAUUUUAAUCUAUAAAAUUUUAUUUCUAGAAAUGGGAUAAGGAAAUAAGAUUUUUUAUCUUAGGACAGUUGUAAAAGAGAUAAAAGAGAAUUACCAGAAUUGACCGGAUCAAAUCAUCAAAUCAAAUCAAAUUUUGUCUUGAGGGCAAAUAUCAACAAACAAUAAGAUUAAUUAUUACUCUCUUAUUUUAUCUUCUUUCUAUUCUUCUUUUAACAAGUUGCUCCUUUUUUAUUUAUGCAUAAAUUUCUACAAUUCUAAUAUAGAAAUAAGAAUGAAACAUCAAUUUCAAAACUAUGGAUAUAAAUUUCACACUAGGAUUAGAACUUACUGGAACCUACAAACUUUAUCAAAUAUCCCUUUGAAGAAUAUGAUAAAAUCUUCUCUGAGAACCUACACGAUGAUAUAAUAAAGUAAUUAUUGCUACAAACCAUUAAUGAAGAAGGUCAAAAAAAAUUCUAUGAGGUAAACAAGACAAAUAUAUUCAUAAUUAAUAAUCUUUGCAAUAGUAAACAGUGUUUCAGCAUCCACGCCAGCUUCCUUAGCCAAAAUGUAUAAUUUAGGAUAAAAAGUUACUUUAUUAAAUUUGGAUAUCCACUUUUCAUUACACCAUAUAUCAGCUUCCCUAUUUUUUCUCUCUCAUCUAGAAUGUUUAGGGAAUGAAAGUCAUUUCCUAAAUUUAGAAAUGUACUAUUCAUAAAUGCAAAAUUUAGGGAAUAGAUAGAGUGGCUGAUGCAAAGGUUUUUUAGCUACCCUAUCCAAAGUUUAAGAUAAAAUUUUUAGAUGUGGAUGCUCUAAUAUUGAACUCUGCUAUCUUGGUCAGUAGAACAUUUAAGUACUGGUAGUACAAUUUGCUUUGAUAUUAAAAAAAAUAUAUGUUAGCAAUAAAUUUGUGUAAAAUACACCAGUUAAGAAAUUUUAACUUUGAAAUUAUAACAUGCAAGUCUUACUCUUAUAUGUCGAGCGCCAUCUAUUCCCAAACAACAGUAGCUACUGCAAGUCCUAUUAACCUACCUUGCAAGUAAAAACUAGAAUGUGUGUUCAUGCAGCAUCAACUAGUAACUUUUCAAAUCCGAAGGAAUACAUUUCUGAUUCCAUAGAAAUAGAAUGUCAUGAUUGCCUAAAUAAUAAUGAACUGACCUUCCUAAGGUUCGCUUGCGGUGAGCAAGCAAAUUCCAAGGUUAGUAGGUUGAUCACAGCCGAAAUCUUAUCAUGCUCGCUAGAAAGUGCGAGUUGUUUAAUGAUACCUUCGAUUUGUGGGAUGAUACCUUCGAUCUGUGGUCUCGAAUCAUUUCAAUAUAACCAAAUCCGUUCAUUAUUCACGAACAAUCAAGAAUCCUCUUCUCGGAUAAGUGGGGAAAUGGAUCGGGAUAGGCUUACCUCACGAGCAUCAUUCUUUUGCUUCUCGUAGAUCAUGUCUCCAAGGUCGAGGAGGGCGUCGACGAGGAUCAACGACGAAGAGUCAGCCAUAUUUUUUAUAUAUAUUAACUUAUUAAAAAUGGGCCCCUGGGUCCUCCUCGUCUAUGAAAUCAGAAAUGUAUUCCUUCAUAUUUGAAAAGUUAUUAGUUGAUGCUGCAUGAACACAUAUUCUAGUUUUUACUUGCAGGGCAGGUUAAUAGGACUUGCAGUAGCUACUGUUGGUUUGGGAAUAGAUGGCGCUCGACAUCUAAGAGUAAAACUUGCAUGUUAUAAUUUCAAAGUUAAAGUUUCUUAACUGGUGUAUUUUACACAAAUUUAUUGCGAACAUAUGUUUUUUUUUAAUAUCAAAGCAAAAUGUACUAUUAGUACUUAAAUAUUCUACUGACCAAGAUAGCAGUGUUCAAUAUUAGAGCAUCCACAUCUAAAAAUUUUUUCUUAAACUUUGGAUUUGGUAGCUAAAAAUCCUUUACAUCAAUCACUCUAUCUAUUCCCUAAUUUUUGCAUUUAUGAAUAGUACAUUUCUAAAUUUAGGAAAUGACUUUCAUUCCCUAAACAUUCUAGAGGAGAGAGAAAAAAUAGGGAAGCUGAUAUAUGGUGUAAUGAAAAAUGGAUAUCCAAAUUUAAUAAAGUAACUUUUUAUCCUAAAUUAUACAUUUUGGAUAAGGAAGCUGGCGUGGAUGCUGAAAUACUAUUUACUAUUGCAAAGAUGAUUAAUUAUGAAUAUAUUUGUCUUGUUUACCUCAUAGAAUUUUUUUUGAUCUUCUUCAUUAAUGGUUUGUAGCAAUAAUUACUUUAUUAUAUCAUCGUGUAGAUUCUCAGAGAAGAUUUUAUCAUAUUCUUCAAAGGGAUAUUUGAUAAAGUUUGUAGGGUUCCAGUAAAUUCUGAUCCUAGUGUGAAAUUUAUAUCCAUAGUUUUGAAAUUGAUGUUUCAUUCUUAUUUCUAUAUUAGAAUUGUAGAAAUUUAUGCAUAAAUAAAAAAGAGCAACUGUCCUAAGAUAAAAAAUCUUGUUUCCUUAUCCCAUAUCUAGAAAUAAAAUUUUAUAGAUUAAAAUAAUUAUUACUUAGGUUGAUGGAAGAAUAAAAUUGGGGUAUAAAUAAUAGUUUCGUCCACGGCCUUUAAAUAACAAGGACCGGCUGAGGGACCUGAUUUAGGUAGUCUCAAAUAGAAAGGCCCAACCUAGGCAUUUUCUGAUACUAAGGGCCUUAGGUAGAAUGCUUCUGUUUUGUACUUUCAUGUUCUGUAGCUUGGUUAGAAUUUUUGAACCUAAGGAUUUGUUUACUUUGGAUGGAAGAUAUACACAAAAGAUAGACAUACAUAAUGGAGCUUUAUAUGUAAUUCUGCAAUCGCUUCUCUUCUCCCUCUUGACGUUCUGUCCAAGUAAAUGAACCCUACAUGACCUUACUUGUCCAGCAACCUAAAUGUGUGCUCUUACAGAAUUAUGUCAUACUUAGAUUAAACUUCUGCCAACUAAAGUAGGUUUUUGUUAUAUUUUGUGUUUUUUAUUAUGUACUUCAUCUUUCUUUCUUUUAGAUUAAUCACAGUAGUUUGCACUAAAUUUUCAUUAGAGUAGCUCUGAUUUGUGAAAUAUACUCUUUGAUUUCAAGUUGUUUGCCCUGAAUCUUUCAGAUUCUAGUUUAUCCUAUAUGGAAAAAAAGAAAUCUUUGCAGAUGACCAUUAACCUAGACCUCUUAUGUUUACCCAAUUGUAUUCGAGGGAUCUCUUUCUAUUUAUCCAACUCUCGCCAAGUAAAACAAGAUCGUACUAUGAUCCAUCAAGUUAUUGUGUUAAUGCUAGGUUGCUAAAAUAGAACUGCAACACUUGCUAUUUAUGAUAAAAAAAAUAAAACAAUAGAAUUGUGACAACCACUAACAUAGAAUCAUAACAUUUGCUAAAAUUGAACUAUGACUUCUGUUAAAAUAUAACUGAGACAAUUUGUAUCUAGUUAUAAAAAUUAGAACGAUAGAACUAUGACGUUUGCCUAUCAUAGGCUCAUAGCAUCCUUUAAUUGGUGGUAACUCUUUCAUUUUAAAAGGUAUUCUAAAAAUAUUUUUUAGAAAUAAAACAUUUUAUGUAAAACAAAUAGAUCCUCGAUUACAAACCUUCUUUAUGGAUUUCUGCUUGAAGCACACUUAUCCUUUGAUAUUAGAAGUAUCCAUCGCACGCUACCAAGGUAUACAUUUUCAAAUGCCUCCAUUCAUCGACCGGUAUCAGGUACAUUUCUUUUUCUUGAUUAUUUAUGCACUUGUUUUCAUGUUAAGUGUAUCAUACUUGAUCUGUUAACGCACACAUUACACUGCAAUAUCGAACAACUUGCAUCCAAAUCUUCUUCUUCAGUUACCACACAUCAUACUUGCAAAUUCUCAUCUCUCUUCCUUUUCAUGCAGUGUAUUCUUUGGUUGCAUCUUAUUUCUAGGUCAGCUCUUGUCCAAAAGCAAGGUUUUGGUGGAUCAAGAUGGUACAAAUUUCACUCAGAUGCCACUAUUUUCCUGCCCAAAUUAAAUCUUGUCUCCCAUCUCCAGUAUGCAUAUUGUGCUCUUAAAGCAAAUGCACCAACCAAACUGAAGCAAACACAGUGCCCUAAAGUCUAAACCGAGAGGACUCGACACAGUUAACCCUUUUGACAAAAGUGACUAGAUGUGCAAUUGAUUGUUGUGGUAAACUUGUCAUGCUUUUGGGCAAAGCUCCUCUGAUUAGGUCACUUCUUUACCUAACUUGUCCUCUGUCUUAUCACCUACUGACACCUUGAUGUUAUGCAACCUUUGCAGGGUUCAGGUGAUCAUGAGAGUCAAGAAGUAUUUUGAUCAUUAUAUAUAUAUUUUUUUGAUAAUUUAGGUGUCCUGACUAAUCUUGAAGCAUUUACCAGCUUGAUGCCAGCAAAUGGUAGAAUGCCGGGCUAUGUUUAGUUCGACUUGUUUGGCGAACGAUGGAUGACAAUCAGAGUUGGUGUUUGAUGACUCGUAGCUGGUCCAAAGGUUGGACAUGGUCUUGCAAUGUUCUUGACACCGAUAACUAGUUAUCGUAUAUGAUGUAAAGCAUUCAUCCAUGUUUAAUUUGGUCGAUCGAUUUUUGGUAAAAAAAAUGAGAGAUCCCUCUUUAAUC